CUAGAGGGCAUCCUCUGGAACUUAAAGCUGGGGACCGCAAGGCCUGGCACUUCAUGAUGAACUCGCGACCUAUCAGCUAGUUGGUGAGGUAACGGCUCACCAAGGCUAAGACGGGUAGCUGGUCUGAGAGGACGACCAGCCACACUGGAACUGAGACACGGUCCAGACACCUACGGGUGGCAGCAGUCGAGAAUUUUUCACAAUGGGCGAAAGCCUGAUGGAGCGACGCCGCGUGGGGGAUGAAUGGCUUCGGCCCGUAAACCCCUGUCAUUUGCGAACAAACCUUGUUAUUUAAAAGAUGACAAGUUGAUAGUAGCGAAAGAGGAAGGGACGGCUAACUCUGUGCCAGC
rnacentral:rRNA from 1 species